AGUUAUGCAAGCAGGACCUAUGGUGACUGGUUGUUUCUGCUACUUGCCCACCGUGCUACAGAUUGUUUGCCGACAUAUGAACAGCUUGGAUGAAGACUCGUUCUGAAGUCGCUGACGAUUGCAAAUAUUUUCAUCCCACUGGGUGGAAAAGGAGAUACUUUCGACUAAAGCCGCGCAGCCUUUACUAUGCCAAGGAUAGUAAGUCGGUAAUCUACGAGGAGAUCGCGCUUUCGGGCGUUUCGGUAGCGGAGUGGCAGGUGACGCGUGGGUUUUUGGCGACUUUGGCGAAACUCCCCGGAGCGCUCCUCGGAGUUGCCGGGAGAGGAGGUAGCCUAGGGGGUUGCCCAUCGCCACACGCGUUUACUGUCAUCACGCCGUUGCGUCAGCUCGUGCUGUGCGCGGACUCGCGCCGCCACAUGGAGGAAUGGAUUAGCGCGCUUAAGGGGGUCUCGUCCAGUAAAGAGUUCAUCGAGGAUGUUCCCCCGCCUUCUGCCCCGCCACGACACGAAAUUCAGCUUCAGAAUAGCAUCACUGACAUCGCGAUGGACGAGGAAUCUUUACCUCCACCACCUGAUCUGAGUCUACAAGGACAGCACAGCUGGUAUGUGACGUCACACGCACGGCCGACGUAUUGUAAUGUAUGUCGGGAAGCGCUGUCUGGUGUCACCUUCCACGGCCUCUCCUGCGAGGUGUGCAAGUUCCGUGCACAUAAACGCUGUGCAUCCAAAUCGCCAAAUAACUGCAAAUGGACGACUCUAGCUUCGGUGGGGUCGGAGGUGUUGGAGGAUGAAGAAGGCUCGCCCUCAAUGCCCCAUCAAUGGGUCGAAGGAAAUCUACCCGUUAGCUCUCGAUGUUGGUCCUGUGAACGUGCGUGUGGCAGCGUUCUACGCCUCCAAGACUGGCGUUGUCUCUGGUGCCGUGCAACGGUGCAUACAGCAUGCCGACCUGUGUUCAGCCUACGAUGUCCUCUCGGACUCUGCCGGGUGUCGGUAAUACCGCCGGUGAGUAUUCAUACGCCAUCAUCGCGUACGGGUACAGGUGGUGGCUGGUGGCGUGGGGUCAAGCCUCCGGGUUGUUCCCCACUGCUCGUCUUUGUCAACUCGAAAUCGGGCGAUAAUCAGGGCAUCAAGUUUUUGCGGCGUUUCAAGCAGCUGCUUAACCCUGCACAGGUGUUUGAUCUGAUGGCCCCCAACGGGGGGCCCCUAUUAGGUUUAAGGCUAUUUAGUGCGUUUCAUACGUUCCGCAUCCUUGUGUGUGGGGGAGACGGCUCCGUGAGCUGGGUGCUUAGUGAGAUAGACCGACUUAAACUGCACAAGCAAUGCCAAAUCGGUGUCUUGCCUCUGGGCACCGGCAACGACCUGGCCCGGGUUCUGGGCUGGGGUUCAGUGUGUGAUGACGACUCUCAGCUGCCACAACUGCUUGAGAAGUACGAACGUGCCACGACUAAGCUCCUCGAUCGCUGGAGCAUACUCACCUAUGAAGGUCCGCUGCCAAUGCCGAGGAAGCUUUCCCAGCCGUAUUCAAGUGUUGGCGCAGGACAGCAGCAGCAAAAGGACGGUAAUAAUGAGAAAUUAUUAGGUCAAAAACAGGGCGGACAAGACCAGGGUAAACGACGAACGCAGCAGGAACCGAUCGGUGCCAAACAGACCGGCGCAGAACCGCAGCAAGCGCAGAUUAUUCAGGCCGAGUGGGACCAGUCCAUUUCGCGACUCGAAGGCUCAGUGGUGGACCAUCUGUCGAAAAUCCUCGAGUCGGACCAACAUUGUGUUGUGAUAUCAUCGGCGCGCGUUCUUUGCGAGACUGUACGAGACUUUAUUCUCAAGGUCCAGUCAAGAACCGAAUGUGAAGAGAUAGAGGCGAAAUGUUCGGUGCUCAACGACAAACUCGAUAGCCUUCUAAAGUCCCUGCACGAAGAGGAGCUAGCGCAUCAGGCAAUUGAUAGCCGACCAGCAAGCCAAUCGAAUGUGGGAAUGAUGACAGCAGUAGCGAACGUAGCCGCUACAUCCGUUGGUGUUCCGGGGCCUAGUCAGGUCCAUCAACGGGUCCUGCCAAGCCCGAACGUGUCACCGAGCCGCUCGCCCCAAAGUAACUACAACAAUAACAAAAACAACAAUAAUAGUAGCAUAAAUAACAACAACUUGAGUAACAGCAGCGGCAACAGUAGCGCAAACAGGAAUGUGGUCAGUGCAGGGGAAGCAGCAGUGACGAUUGUGGGCUUCACAACUUCCGGAAACAUCGCCAGCACUGCCAGAGAUGGAGGCCGCAGUCCGAAUGUACCACCGUCGGUUAUUCCUAGCAAGAUAAGCGGGUGCACUAAUUUGUUGCAACGUGAAGCGCUUAUGUGUCGCGCUAACAGUCUUAAAAAGGCUCUUCGUCAGAUUAUUGAGCACACGGAGCGUGCCGUCGAUGAACAGAACGCUUUGCCUGAUGACUGGCGAAGGUCAGCAGAUGAAAGUGGCGCUACUGCGGGCGGCAAUACAUCAUCGCCACUGGUGCCAGGUAGUAGGAGAAGACACAGUAAGGAAGGCGUGGCCAUUCCCGCGUCCAGAUCGGAAUCGGUGUCUCCAGUACCGGUGGCAGGCUUUCCAGAAAAGGGCGGGACAGAUGGCCUGCAACGUUGGCAAGAAACACGAAAACAGGCAGAAGUCGCAGAUGGAUCUAUUGUCGCAGCACGGACGUCUCCCGCGAGCUUCUCACCACUGUUAGGGAACAGAUACAACAACAGUGCAGCCAUCGCUCAUGAUAUCUCCCUCGCAUCGGAGGUUUUUAGCGCUACGGCUAUCGGCGGGGUUGACCGUGAACGACGAGAUUCAAACACGUCACUGUCAGCGAAUAUCACUGGACUAAGAAGGAACCGUGGCGCAAUGGCAGCGGACACAAAUGUCAUGCAAGAUCGUUGCGAGCGUAUGGCAACCAUACCGUCCGCGCAAUCGGCGUCAUCGCUCGAAGAAGCCACGUCCGUAGCGUCGGCAAGCGCCGGCGGCGCAGGUGGAAGCUCGAGCUCACGACCGCAUACGUUACCCAUAUUGGAGACGACGCCGGACUCACCUCAGCCAGCGCGAAGUACGACAACCACUAUGUCAGACUCAGAACAGCCAAGUCCAGUGGGUCGAAGCCCAACGAGCGAUGGCAGUGAUCCCGAUAAUGAAGGGCUGGUAGGCACAACGCCUACCUACAGUUUGUUGCAACUGAGCUCACCAACCGCAUCACGCCGAAUUUCCAGUGGGUCGACGUUAAAGCACAUCGGUAAUAUUGCCAUACAAUUAGCGGCAGCACCAUCACUUGCUGCUGGAGGCGGGAGCAGUCCAGGCGGCACUGGCGCAAGCAGCGGAGGUGCAGGCAUGCUCCAGAUCCCAUCGGGCGGUGCGCGAUCCCCCGACGUCGACGUGGAUCGGCGCAUAUUUCCGAUUAUCAAUCCGCUGGCUUCCUUGCCUGCGUGGCCAAAUCUCGCUGGCGAAAGCAGCCUUGUUGGCAAGGCCCUUCUGGCUAAUGCCGACGCACUCUGCGCUGCUGCCUCGCCGCUGAUGGACAUCGAUGACAUGAACAUGGACUGUUUCCAGGAGAAAUGCGUAAUGAACAACUAUUUUGGCAUUGGAUUAGACGCUAAAAUUGCUCUCGAAUUUCAUAACAAACGCGAGGAACAUCCCGAAAAAUGUCGAUCACGGACAAAAAAUCUCAUGUGGUAUGGAGUGCUCGGUGGACGCGAACUAUUGAAUAAAACAUACAAAAAUUUAGAACAGCGGGUUCAUUUAGAGUGCGACGGUCACAGGAUUGCUCUGCCUUCAUUACAAGGCAUUGUUGUCUUGAACAUCCCAUCGUACGGGGGGGGCUCAAACUUUUGGGGUGGGAGCAAAGAGGACGACGUGUUUUUCGCGCCAGCUAUGGACGACAAGAUCCUCGAGGUAGUUGCUGUCUUCGGGACGGUCCAAAUGGCCGCGUCCCGGGUGAUCAAUCUACAGCAUCACCGCAUCGCACAAUGUCGCUCUGUCCGAAUUACUAUCACCGGUACGGAGGGUGUUCCUGUGCAGGUGGACGGCGAGGCAUGGUUACAGCCGCCCGGGUGCGUAUGCAUCCAGCACAAAAACCGUACGCAGAUCCUCUGCCGAAACCGGCAGUUCGAGUCGUCGCUGAAGAGUUGGAACGAAAAGCAACGGCGUCCUUCAUCCGGAAGCCAGUGUGGCUCAAAGACCGCUCCCGCAGGCAGUAAUGUUAUUGGUACCAGCAGCUCUUCAGCCCAACCACCUGGAAAAAAUAACUCGUCACGCCAGUCGCCAUUGGAGGGCGCAGUCGCAAGCAUUGCUGUUUCGCUAGGUCCCUCACUGUCCGCGUCUGGAAACCCUCUUGACGGAUUCUUCACCGACAAUGAGGUUAAUCAAUUAUCCACGUUCAUCGAGGCCGCAUCACGCCUUGUCAAAGUCAUACAAACGAUUUCGGAGAGCAAUCCUGUCGUAGAUAACGAGCUCUGGUUAGCUGCCUCACAGACGAGCUCACUGCUAGAACGAUUCUUCCCAUCUGGACUACCGGCCGGUGUCGCCGACAACGAAUUGGGUCAGCUUCGGCAACAACUCGGCGAGCUAAUCAGCUCGGCUAAGCAACUUCAGCUUGAGACGAAAAUUUUCAUUCAGGAGAAGAUUGAAGACAUCUGUCGAUUGGGUUACGAAAAUGAAGAUGCACUCGUGAGUGCCAGCGGUGAACUAGAACGUCAGCUUAAAAGAUGUCUUGCGAUUCGAGCGCUCGCACAUUUUUACGAUGUCGAGCGUUUGCUGCCAUUAAACGAAGAGGCGUGCGGCCUCCCAAGUCAACGCGACUCAUCAAAGCGUCAUCUUCCGCAUUGUGGGAGUCUGGCUUUCUUCCGUGUUCGGUUACGAGCACUAAAAGCCAGCUGCCUGGCUCACUCUGAAACCGUGCCCUUGGCCAAGGUAGAUCCCACACUGUCGCAAGUACCUCUUGCACGUUGUGCGCUCGUGCCAAGUGCACGUUCAGCGCCGACCACCCCAGAUCGUUCAGAGCAUAAGAGCUGUACUGCGGGCGGACCGGUUGGCCAGCUUGCAGCCUUAGCGGCUCCCGUCGCCGAGUGGAGCUCGAGAGAGGUCCUUUUCUGGCUGGAGUCCCUUCAUUUGGCUGAAUAUCGGGACACUUUCCUCAAACACGACAUACAGGGAGCUGAGCUGGUCAAUCUCGAGCGACGCGACUUAAAACAGCUUGGUGUUGCGAAGGUUAGGCACGCGAAACGAAUUCUGAAAGCGAUACGGGACCUCACGCACAGCACCGAGCAGCGACCCUGAAAAAGGCGAGGCUCGAUUAAGCGAAGUAGCAACUGCUCGAUGUUUAAACCUGAAAAACCAAACAAAUGGAAAUUGUCUGGUAGUCCUAUUUUUGAGGCUUCGUCUUCGGCCAUAGCUCAUCCGAGCCGUAUUACAAAUUGACGCAUACAUGAAAUGGAACAUCACGCCAACCCAUAAAACCGAAUGUAUUUUACGAAAUAACCCAUUUGUAACAAUGGCUAUUUCCGCGACCAACGCUUACGUCGACUAACUAUUCUAUACGAAAGAAUGCCGUACAGGCCAGCGGCCAUACGCGCCUAGCUUGAGCAGAAUAACAACACUUAGUGUUAAAUAACAUUACGAAUGAUACAAUUUGUAACAAAACAACUAUAUACAUAUAAUUACAGACACAACCGUCAACACAAGCCCCAUAGUAGACAUCACCAUAGCACAGAUUAAGAAAGUGCUGCAAAAAACAACGCGGAUUGUCUCCCCAUUAACAAUGUGUUACGGCAGAUCGGUGGCAAAUGAAGGAACACUUUCUCUAGAAAUCGUUUAAGAUGCGUCGUAUAGCGUUAGCGUAUGAUCGGUCCUUAUUACCUGUUGAUCACUUCGUUCUUCUGAGCCUAUAUGUGUUAUAUACAUAUAGUGCGAGAGGGUAAAAGGCAAACGACAGUGGGCGAGUGAGUAACAGCGAAUACUGUAUACUACAGCGAUUGCCGAACUGCAACCCGCGGUUGGUUCGAAAAUCCAUGUUAAUUAUACGUAUCUUUGAGCUAUUAAACACGCCUUUAGCUUAACAAUUUUUUCCAUACCGUAUACACACACACACACACACACACACACACACACACACACACACACACACGAAUGCCUACAAAUAUACAGAUCUGUGUCGAUUGUUGUCAUCAGCUAAGCUAACUAAUGACGCCCUGUUGCGUGCGCAUCGGACGUUGGAUUGAGAGAGAGAGUGAAAAAAAAGGUAACGAAAUGGAAGUGUGAACGAGGUGAAGGCCUAUGGUAGUAGUAAGACCCAAAAAUAUCAGUUCUCUCACUUCCUCAGCGCAUGACGCGCAUCUCUCGAUUAUCGCCAUUCAUCAUGUGUCUAUUUAUAACGAGAUGACCCUUUCGGCACCAUUCCCGAACGAUGGCUCCGCUAAUAUUAAAGUUAGUCAAAAUAACGUCGAAGAUAUUUCUUCCCCUUGCCUUCUCUUAGCGAAGUUACCAAGCAAAAGUGAACAUUUAGGUGUUAAACGAAGUAGAUUUCGAACGACAAGGGGCGUUCGGGUACUUAGUCACAAGGGACUCAUACCUGUGUACGUAUCUUUCUUUGUAUAGAAAUAGAACUCCCGCUAUAGUUAGUCUGAAUAUUAUUAGUAGAAGUGUUCUUAUUUUUCGUGAUGGAGUUAUUAUUUGAUAAAUAUAUUAACAGUUAACCUUCAGAUCUGUGGUUUCCAUUUCCACUUCCUGUUCCGUUAACUACAGUAGAAUGCAGUGGAGUAUAAUACAUUAAAGCGAUAUAUUGGCUUCUUGGUGCGCACCGCUACCUACUACAUAAACGCUGACCUAAUUCCUACAUCCGACAGUUGUAUACAAUGCACUUUUAACAACAACAAUAAUAGCUAGUCAUAAUGAUUUUUCCCUAUCUCAGAUAAAUUGUAUAGUAUACGUUAUAUACUUGACCUAUAAACAGCUUGCUAAACCCCCUACAUAUAUUAUAAUCCCUAUAGAAGCCAUGAAAUAGACUACUCCCAUUAUAAACAGGCACCCAGAUGUGCUCCUCUUUCGUUUCGAUUAUUUUAAUUACAUUAGCGAUCUUCUACGCUAAAUGACGAAUAGAAUUUUUUGCGUUUGCCCAAUGAGUUGCUGGCGCAUGGAUGGAUAUCUACUACUAGGCUUAACUAAUUAUAUGCAUAGGGUAAAUUUUCAGGGGGAUACUACUAAGCGUUUUACCAAAUUUGGGUUUCUUUUACUGUCGACGACAGAUUACCGUCAACGAUUUGUAAAACUGUAGCCAACAAUUACAUUUAGACACGACGUACAUAAAAAAAACAACCUUCAGUUGUCCGCCUGACAAAAUCAGUGGGAGAAAGUUCAGGCAAUAGCCUGCUGUCUCAUCCCACAUUUCUAUCGAGCACGAAGUACAGAACGAAUAUCGUUUAUUGAAAGUUCUAAGUUGGCCUGUUGACGAUUUGGUAUACCAACAUCGAGUGCUAACGUUGAGUUUGUCUUGCACGAUCGAUGUGCCCCCCUUCACUUUCGCCUCGACCAGGCUUACAGUUACCAUCUAACUACUACUACUACUACUACUGUCUAAUAAUCCCCUUAUGACAGAUGUUAUUUCAGUAAAUUCAAAUGCUGUUUCAGUUACCAUACAAAGUUGCACGACACACACUCGGAAGAGCGCAGUAAGGAUUUUUCAGUAUCAAGUCAUAUGACGGCAUUUAACAAUAUAGAGGUCAGGUCAAACGGAAAAAAAUGUCUAUCUGUCACGCAUUGUUCCAAGCCAUAGCUUUCAGUCAUUUUUCGAUUAUAUCUUUAUGUCACUUUGAUGUUAGUUAACAAAGUUAGUUUGUCUGCUUAGAACUGACAUGUUACGUCGUCAAUCAUUUCGUUUCAUGAAACGCAAUGCAUGAAGCCGUCGAAAAGCGUAAUUUGUCAGCCUGCGCAAACAGGACAAAUAGCCGAGCUACUUGCACGAUUUCGAGCUGAAUAAAGUAGUCUCUACUUGUUCUUACCUCGAAGCCAAUAGACCAGCGUUUUGGGCCAACGCCAAGUGUAUCGACACUACUUUUCAAUGGCGGACGGGAUAGGACGAAAAGCAUUACACAACCUACAGGAAUCGAUCGAGUUACGCACCUUUAAAAUAUAUAUAUAUAUAUAUUCCCCGAAAGGAACUAACUAAAAUGACCCACAAAAAGGUGGCAGCACUUACCCAUAAACAAAUCACCUAUGUGAGAUGACGUUUAUGCAUCGCAGCAUAUACUGCCAAAUGGGUUGGUCUAAACUUUGUGAAUCUAUUCAAGAUACAUAUUGAACAACUCUAUUCUAUACAGACGCGUAUUAUUUCUACAUAUACGUGAUAACUUUUCACAAUCGUGUUAAGCAGUUGAAAGGGCUGAACGUUUGCCACCCGUCUAUCUAUCUAUCUAUCUAUCUGCCCUUCAGUGGCUGUGUCAUUGAACAAUAUAUCGAUGAAACGACGCUCCCGUCGGGGCCGCUGUUCGUCAAUCGAGACGAGUGUCGAUGGAGUUAGGACAGCAGCUCGGACGAGAGCGCAGACUAUGCAACCUCCAAAAUAGUACAAUUGCCAUCUUGCAGUUUACAUACGAAGCGAUGCGGUCCAAAUCGGCAACAGUAAUUUAACGAAUUUGUUGGGAACUGGUGAUAGUCUGCUGAUUGCUCUGAUAUUUACCAUACGUAUUUGAUGUUGUGUUAGAUUGAAAUUGGCUAAAACUCCGCUUUGGAGGCGGCAGCGAACAUUGGCUAUUGUUUACAUAUGGAAUGGUUUACCGUUCGUGGGCGGAAACUUCUAGAAAUAGUUCAAGUUAAGUUCGACAGCUAGAUCAGUUGUUCUACAUCCCCACUAGGGCAUUUAUCCAUGUGUACGCAUUGUGCCUUGUUUCCAAAUCAAGUGGACAAACUACCAGAUCUAAAGUUACCUUCCUUUUGUUCUUGCACUUUUUCUAGUAAUCUGUACAGUAAACACUGCGUCCUGCAUUUUCCAGUUGGUCCCGUCUGCGUGAAGACGUAUCUUUGCGCGGCGCUUUAAGGCAAUAACGCUUUGAGAAUGCCAAUUGAAACAGAAGGAAGGCGAGGUUUAUCUAUUCACACCUCAAGUUUUUGCCUUAUUUUAUAUAUAUAUAUAUAUAUAUAUAUAUAUCUAACUUACUUAUAAGUUACGUAGUGUAGAUAAUACUACUAUAAUUAGUCGUCUCACAUUUUUCUUUAUCGUCCGCUGCUAUAUUGUAUAUUAUUUCCCCUUCUGCACAUUGCUACGUUAUUGCUAACACACAAGCAUAUAGUGGAGUCUUGUGCCUGCCAUAGGCAAUGCUGUUACUAUACAUAAUAAUAUAACAAUACUCGUUAACAAUUACUAUAAGAACGGUACGAUAAUAGUAAAUGUCACUAUUAUAAUUAGUAACAAAUCAGUAAGCCUGCACCUGACUAAAGCGGUCCUGCUUCCUACGCCUGUCUUCUGAAUAAGCCGCCCGCUAUCAAGGGUACCUGGCACCAAAUGGAAACUCGCCCUGAAGCAUCGUUUGCCCCCCAAUAUUUUCUAUCUCUUUCUUCAUAGAUGUUCCAUUGUCGUAUAACUUCGCAGUGUUCAUUAACUAGUAACUAAUGGGCAGAAGAGCUAUAGCCCUAAUCUUUUUUUCAGCUCUUGAUGCAGCCUCCUGUAGCUGAAUACUUGAAGUAGUUUAGAGCGGUAACGCAUAUGUAUCUCUAUGUAGACGAUGGACGCCUUGCUUUCUUUUACUGUGUUCUGAUGUCUACGACAACGCAACUGGCUAGAAGGCUAUUGGAGCCAUAUCAAACAAGCUGCGCUGAUAUGAUUGAGACUUGACAUCUAAAAUUACGACCGCGAACAUUUUUUUCGGUCAAAGAAACUUCGUCUAACCCAAAAAUUCAACAUUGCCAACACAGUUGUCCCUCGAAGUGGAAAUUUUGUACGUCUGUAUAUUGUGCGAAUACUUGCUAUUUUCUUGCAAAGUAAAAGUUCAGAACAAUACGACCUGUUGUCAUGUUAAACUAGCAUUUUCCAAACCUGACGGCAUCCGGGGCGUUGUCCUGCAACCUAAACGUUGGGAGCAAAGGACGUCAAAGCAUAUUUACGUAAUCUUUGGAUCGCAAUCUGCUUUAGGACCCCUUGGUCGUGAACACAGAAACAGGCCACGGUGUAAUCAGUCUUCGUAAACGAGCCACAGGAAUUCGACCAACGGAACGAAAGUACUUGAACUGACUGGUACGUUUUGACCUUCGUGGACGCGCGAUGAAUCGAACCACAGCGGAUGUAUCCACUGUGAAUUAGUCGCGGGCGGAAUAUCGAGUGCUGAGCGCUCCUUCUAAAUGAUAAAGCGUAAAAAACAUCGGAAACCUGUGCGUUCAAUCCCACAGCACUGUAGUCGCUGGCUACAUACAUACACACCACAAACAUUAUAGUGGAUAUACAGGUACAUAAAGUAUAUAGAUGAACUUAUGCUAUAACGAUAUAUAGACGAAGAUGACUAAUAUUAAUCGUGAUUUUUCCAUGAACCUACACUGACUAAGACUGUAAACGGAACGCGUUCGCUUCUGGACCACAUUUUUCUAUGGUAGAACUACUGCGAGAACUGUAGUGUUAAAACUAAGGGUACGCGGAAAGGAGCAUAUGAAAGUAGCAGGCCUUAUAACAAUCUUUCGCCGUUGUGAGCUUCGUGUAGCGCACCCCAUCGACCCACACACGAGUAAUACGAUUGUCAGCUGGCCUUGUGUAGACCGUAUGUAUUUAUGUUCGGAACGCUAGAUGCUGACCAGUACUCAGUAUCAGUCAGCUCAUAGGCACGCUGUGGAUACUGAGCCCAGGGAACCGGUGAGUCGAGCCCGCCGCGACGGUAAUAAAUAAUCAAGAAAACACUCGAUAUAUAUAUAUAUAUAUAAUAAAAACACAACACAUACAUACAUACACGCGAGAAUGAUACAAACAGAUUGUAUCUUGUUGGUGAUAUUCUCCAUAUCUUAACAAUUUUUUAUGGUUUUAGUAAUCGUUAUAGGUGUGAUUAUAUACUUUAUGUUUUCAUUAGUACGUAUAACGGAAUAACCCAAGAUAUUGUAGAAUUGUUGGCUACACAACACUCGGACGUCAACGAAACGUAACAUAUUAUAUAUGAUUAUAUUCAUAAUGAUACUGACAAACAAGAUCGUAGGAUAUGGACGCCAAUAAUCAUAUAUAAACCGAAGAAAAAAGAGUUAUUGGGAACGAAAAACUAUCGUGUAGAGAUAUAUUCUCUACUACGGACAGCUACUGCGAAAGCAUGCGCGUAUCAAAUGCGAAAACAAACAUCUGUAUAUAGAGUAAUACGUAUAAAAAAACAUGCACCAACACUGAUAAAACAAGUAAACGUACGUGCUAAGGGAAGACUGUCUAAGAUCAGUUUUUGUAUUUGUUGUUAGAAGCGCAGAGGACAUCCUAAAGAGUUGGCCAAAUUCGGUUUGUCUUGUUUAAGUAGUAUGCUACAAAGUGCGACAAUGUUCUAGGCAAUAGAGGAGCGGUCACCGUCAUUUUCUGAAGCCCACCGGACUAUACGGGAUGCUAUUUAAUUCGUGGAAUUGCUGUGGUCCUUAAUGUUGUUUUUCGCCAUGCCAAAGCUGUCUGUGUUACGUUUUUAUACGCCAUUCUGUUCUGUUUUUUUUUUUUUUAAUAGUGUAAAUAUUUUGACAAAAAGAGUAAAAAAAAAUUAAACAACAAAAACGCAGUUUCUACGGCGAUAAUAUCUGAAUUUAGGACUAGUGACGCUAACGCUAACAAAUGGAUCAACUUCUACCGUUGAACAAGUACAAGUGUGCAUACAAGGACUGCAUACAACACACCUGAACAUGUAAAUGGGGUAACAUAUAUACUUAAUAGAUGGUUGCGUAAGCUUUGCGUGUGUUUCCUAAUCGCGUCGACAAUACGAUAUCUUAGAACUAUUGCAGACGCUAACCAACGACCGAAAACAGCGAUAUCUAUUAAAAUCUAUUUGAACAUGGAACUAAGUUCUGGUGCACAACUUUGUUUUUGGUGGUGCUAACAACAGGACUACUGACAUAAUAACACCACCUGCAUAUAUGUAUAUAUCGAAACUUUUCAUGUAAUCAGAACAAGCUGGGAUUAGCCUUUCCGACUUAAUUUGCAUUUUUUAAAAAAAUAUUUUUCCUUGAUUUUACGUAUGAGUUUGAUCAUAGAGGUGCCAAAUCAGCUAGCGGCCCUUCUAUCAAUAUAUUACCACUUUUCUAUACCCAUCUCCUUGUUGUCCUAGCGGCCAUCAUUGAUGUUGAACGUUUUUCGGAGAGGGAAAAGCCUGCUUAUAAUAUCUACGUACGAUACAGUCCCCCACAUUACCAACGAUCGGUUUCGUUCGACGAACCGAUUUCGUCCGCGCCGCCACUUAACCCUGCCUUCAUUUAGAAUUAUUUUUAAUAAGGCCAACAGGUGACAUUGCGCUAGAGUCAGCAUUCAACACAUUUCCAUACGGAUACAUGUAACACCUACUAGCUUACAGUUACACCAUCCAACUGCGAACUUAGAACCAAUUUAACUUAUUAGCUAGGCUGAGAGAUAGCAGUGAAUAUACAUACAUAUAAACAAGAGAAUUAUCAUUGCAGGCGCAGAGUACAGAUAUAUACAAGUCGUAUAAAAUACUAUAUAAACAGAUGUAUUAUCAGCGUAAAUCGUUGCAUCAAGACAAACUCUAGCACGUAUAUACGGACGGCUAGUAAUAAUUGCCAAUUGUCUCUUCUUACGGUAAACAACAACUUUAGUAAUAAUAGUAAUAAUGAUGACGCUGACAACAUGAAAAUGAUUACCUUUUUCUAGCGAGUCGCUACUCUCGUAUAAUUUUUGAACAGGUUUACACUGUUCCAUAUCAUUAGAUAAUUAUAUCAGUCAUUUCUGCUGCAAAAUGACCGGUAUCCGAUCUCGGGUAAUAGCAGGUAAUUAUCCUUAUGGCAGGGACGUUCAGCCUGAAUUCUGUUUCAGGCCCGUUUUUACAUCCUUCAAUUUAAAAGCAGAACACGCCAGGAAACGACGGCAUAUGACAUACGUUAUGAUAUGAAUUGUUCUAGCUUCGUAACUUUACCACUAGCUGCUCUUGCAAUGAGCGAUCGCUGUGCGGGAACUUUCAAGUUCGCUAAAAUUUGCAUAACGAACCAUUGAGUCAGAAAGGUAAAAUGUAGACCUACUGAGCAAUCGUUGAAACCAGCGGAGGCCAUAAAACAAGAAUAUAAAGCUAUUUUAGUAGCUUAUAUGGCGUGACAAAUACAAAUCGAACGAUUCAAGAUCUAUGGGACUAAUUAUGAUUAAAAAUAAUGAGGUAAUAAGUUAUAACUAGAAUGGUACUGCGAUGGGGAGGGGUCGAAUUUUACAAAACUAACCACUAUACAACAACAACAACAACAGAGACGCAUACAAGAUUAUAUAUAUAUAUAUAUAUAUAUAUAUAUAUAAUGUACUGAAUGUUAAGUAAGGACAGAUUGGCGAAAAGCGACAGCAAAAAGAUGCUCAGAUCUGUAUAGGAGAUUACAUACGGACCAAUACUUGUUAGAUAUAUAAAUAGAAAAUAUAUUAUAAAAUGAACACACAUAUAUAUAUAUAUAUAUAUAUAUAUAUAUAUAUAUGACUUGUUUUAAUACGCAGACUGAAGCUAACAAUAACUAGAAGUCGACUGAGAUCACCGUACUAACGUCAACGAAAGGAUAGCAAUGAUGCUGAGUUCCGGAACUUACAGUCCUAAGUGACCUACGGUCGUUUACUACUACUAAAAAAAAUCGAUGACUGACUAAUUAACUAACUAACUAACUAUCUAUCAUUGAAGUGUGAGACGGCGCACAAACAUAAGCACUCGUACGAAGCACCAUAACGACAACAAUUUCGUGAUAAUCCUAACCACAAUGAAUUAGGAAAAUACUUAUUUUUGAUGAUUCUGACAAUAAUCUAAUUUCAAUCAUUAUUACACCAGAAAUAACAACAAUAAGCAUUAUUGCUAGCCUUUAAGGAUUGUUGUUGAUUUUUUUUUUUUUAUUUGAAAUUGCUGGAAUUGUUAGUGGGCAAUAAUUAGCGCUAAUAACAACAACAAUAACAAGGCGAAGCAGAGGAAAACGAAAAGGAUCAGAGGCGAGACGCUUCAUUCUAGCAACAAUUACUAUUAAUAUAUUACACAAGAUACGAGAAGGUACUGAGCGUUAUUCUGAGUUGACUGAACGCUCGUUCGUAUGUGAAACGAGAGCGAAAUAAUAAUAAAAACUGAAAAAGCAAUUCAUAGAAAAACUACAAGGAUGACAAAAA